rnacentral:lncRNA from 1 species
AGAUGCAAACCAAGGAGGCUGGAAGAUAAGAGCAGAGCCAUCAGGACCCGAGCCCCUCGGGGGUAUGAAACAGGAGUCGUGGGAGCAAAUUAGUAGGUGCACUGCAUGGAGGGAUGGAAGGGGCAGGGAGGAGCAUCUGAAUGUAAGAUUUCAGAGAAGCUCAUUUUGUCAGCAUUUCAGAGCUUCCUGUGUGCAGCAUGGAUCUAAAGCUGGUGGAUGCAGGGGGGUGAAAAAGACAACAUCUUCACUUCCUGCAUGCUGAUGGCGGAAGUGAGACAUCAGCGAAGAAACAUCACGAUCACCAAAUUAUGAUGAACACCAUGGAGGAAACAAAGGACACUGUGACACCAAGGAAGGAAGGGAGGUUACUUUUCAUAGUGGCUGUAAAUAGAACUGAAGGCUGAAAAAGAGCUGUUAAAAUGGCUUGUUUGUUUGAAGAUGAAUGAGAGUACACAAUAAAAGGAAAAAAAUUUGGACACAGACACACACAGAGGGAUGACCAUGUGGAGACGCAGGGAGAGGAUAGCAGCUACAGGCCAGGGCGAGAGGCCUCAGAGGAAACCAGCCCUGCUGACUCUUUGAACUCGGACUUCCAGCCUCCAGAACUGAACCACUGUCUUCCUUUAUCCCAGGAUGUCUGCAAGGAAGAAAAUGUCCUUUUUCUAGCAUUUAGAGGCCACCAACAUUGAAUAACCAUACUGGGGUAGACACAGUGGGGAAGAGAUUCCUGCUGUUCCCAUCACAGCAGCCUUGGAGAUGAGGAGACAGAUGGAUCUGACCAGAAGUCUGGAGAACUUCGAGAAAAAAGGAGGAGGACACAAAAGGAAAGAACAAAAAAGAUGCAUCCGGAGCAACUAUGAGGAUGGUAAAUUGGUGUCUAAUUCUGAAAAUCAUAAUUGGUAUGAAUGCUAUGCACUGUGGAAGGAGGGAUGAAGGGUAGAGGGAAUAAAAAAGAACGUGAAGUUAGAAUCCUUGGCAUGAAAGCCUGCCGUUUAUACAAGCAAACAAACAAGAUCAGAGACUAUCAACUGGCUGGCUGAAUUGGACCAAUAGGCAGGUUUGUUCAGACCCACACUUCAAAAAUUAGGAGAUCUCCACAUUAAAAUCUGGGAAUCUGACCUUUUGUAACAAAUCAGAGGAUUUGCAACACCAAGAGCAUCAUCACAGGCAACGACCAGCUUGGAUGGGCAGCGGCUGCCCCUGCAGGUGGGUCAGGUGCUCUUCCGUUGGACACAGUCUCCACCACUCCCUGUCGCUUGCUCCUUGCUCCCCAUCAGCAUAACUGUUUGGGCCUUAUAGCAUAUGCAUUUGUCACUCCCUACUAGGACGUCCACAACAUGAAAUGAGAGAACGAUUUGGUAAGUUCAACAAAAGGCAUAUUACGCAGCCACCAUACAUUCUUUGUGGAAAGAGAAGUGGCAUAA